UUCUAAGUUCUGAAUUCUGCGCGCGGGGCGCGCUGGGGAGGAAAGUCCGAACUUUACGGGUAUGCACGCCGCAUAUCCGACCACGAUAGCGGCUAACGGCCGCCCUGGUGCGCUACGCGCGCUGGCGGGAUUAGUGCCACAGAGACAAUACUAGCCGUGCCCGGCACGGAAAUCCAAAAUCUGAAACCCUAAAUUCUAAACAAAUUCGAAAUACAAAAUUCGAAUAUCAAAACAUUUAGGAUUUAGAAAUUAGGAUUUAGAGUUUCCGCGCCGUGCGCGGUGAAAGGUGAAAAGUGUUCCGUCAAACGGAACUCUCGGCAUUGGCAACAGUGCCAGGUGGAAAACCCUAUCGGAAGCAAGGACAAAGCCGGUUGGCUGGUUUACUGGUUGACUGGUUACAAGUAGUCCGCAUGACCCCGAGAGUAAUCGAGGGGCUAGAUAGAUGGCCAUAUGGCGCGCGUGGCACGCAGAACUUAGCAGACAGAACUAAGAGAUUA
rfam:Candidatus Sungbacteria bacterium RIFCSPLOWO2_02_FTLL_48_13b rifcsplowo2_02_scaffold_2251, whole genome shotgun sequence.